CACGAUCGCAGUGAAGUGCUACCAGAAAACUCAUCUGGAACAUCAUGGCUCGGAGCAAUGCAUGUUGUCUGGCGCUUCUCCUCUUAUGCGGCGCAAUCCUGCUGGGAAUGAAUCCCGGGACGAUGGUGAUGAGCGCCGUAGCUUGUCCACUGGUCUGCUUGGAUGUGGACUAUAUGACGUGCCCGUCCACUGGGGAUGAGCACCUGAGUCCCCAGUGCAACUGCUGCCUCGCUCCUAAAGGCUGCACUCUUCACCUGACCGACGGCACAUCAGUUUCUUGCAGUUGAAGAAAUCGAUGCUAGAAACUGAAGUCUAUUCAAAAUGCCAUGUGCAGUACAUCAGAUCGAACUUUGCAUCUGAAACUGAAUAAAGAUCGCACAAAAUAAGUCUAAGACUCUGUUAUCUUUAAGUAUUGUUCUGAUAAUUUCUUCCUUCGUGUUUUGUUCUGUUACUUUCUGUAACUAUAUAAGUGAGAUGACUGUACAAGGACUUGAGCCAUUUCCAUGACCAUUUCUUGGCUUUGUCUGUCGCCGUGGGUUAGAGUCCAAGACCUCAUUUGGGUCGAAUUUUCUACCAUCGCCUGAAGGACUUUCAAUACUUUCUGACGACCAUAUGUUUCAGUUCCUCUUUAACAUUUUCUGGCAUACAAAUAAAGGCUUCAUUUACGUUA